ACUCCCACUCCUGGAUCUUCAGCCAACCUUGGCGGGCCAGUACUCAGAACCUGGCUCAGGAACUUGAGGAUCAGGAGAUGGAAGAAGAAACCGACGACGACAAUGAAGACCUCAAACAGCAACUUGAACAGAAUCGCAACGACCUCAGGGAAAUGAAAAACCUGUUCAACCAAAACGUCAAGGCUCUCAGAGAACUUCAAGAGCAGGGACGACGUGCCAAGGAACUUGAGAAGGAAGUCGCAACUCUUCGGGCCGCCGCGAAUGUUAUCUCCGCGCCCGUCGAAGGAAGAGAACGACUCAAACUCAACACGCCCACCACGUUUGACGGAACUCCUGGGCAACUCAAAGGAUACCUAGUCCAGAUACGCACUUACCAGGCUUUCCACGCGAACACGUUCCAGAAUGACACAGAACGAGUUGUCCAUCCGCCACGUUCUUACGAGGAAGGGCUCUUGCUUGGUUUGAACCCCUUCAGCAGGAAUGGCUGGACAACCCCCUGAGAAGUAUCGACAAGAAGUAAAGGACAUUUUCUUCAGCUUUGGAGGAUAUGUCAAAGCUUUUCAAUCCCUAUUCCUGGACCCCGAUGAGAAGAGGCAAGCGGAAAGAGAACUAGCGAAUCUACGACAGACUAAAUCAGCCACCUUGUACGCUGCAGAAUUCCGACGACUUGCAGCCAGACUCGAUAUGACCGACGAAAGCAAGGUCUUUGCCUUCUAUCAAGCCUUAAAGACGACGUCAAGGAUGAAAUGGUCAAAGUAGACGCACCACCUAGUUUCCUCGCUUACACCGAACAUGCCAUCAAGAUUGAUAACCGGCUGUUCGAACGACGAAAAGAAAAAGGAGAAAGACGACAACCUGCCAACUCAGCAAAAAAGUAUCAGUGGCAGAACCAAAAGAACUUUCACCAAAACCACAAGCAACGUGAACAACAGAUACUCCCAAGCGCUGGCCUGAGUGGGUCCGUUAACCCUCCUGUUAGGCAUAACGAACGGGUCGUAACAGAUAGCAAGGGCCCUAGGCAAAGUUCUCUUUUCUUCUUAACAGUCUAUUACCCUGAAAUCGGUUUAUCUAAAGCUAGGGUUUAACAACCGGAAAAGCCUAGUACUUCUAUUAGGUCUAGUACGCUCUCGACAUCCCUUAAAAAUCUAUAAGAAGGAAUAAUUCUUACGCUAGGUUAUACUUAUAACCAUAGUAAGUCUCUAAGGUAAAUAGCCUCUAGUUAAUAAAAUAAUAUAGAUAAAGGAAGUUAAUAAAAUAGAUCUAUAACUUCGGGAUAAGGAUUAGCUUUAAAAGUUAGGUAUAUUAAGCUUUAAGCAGACGGCUCGGGAGUAAGUUACUACUAGCUAGGUAACUAGCUAGAGGCUUCUAACAUCUAAGUUCUAAUACCUUUAGUAGGCUUCGGCUAUCCGGCAUACGGUUAAUAACUAACUUAAAACUAGUAUAGAUAAGGGGAAUCUAACUAUCUAAUUAAAACAUAGUAUUACGAUAGCUAGAAAGUAGUAUUAACGUAAUAUAAUUUCUACCUAGUACUUUAAAUAUCAAAGUAAAGUAAUUUAACUAAGCGUAGGUAAAUAGCAAAAGUAACUAUAACUCUCUUAAGGUAGCUAAAUACCUUAUCAUCUAAUUAAUAACGCGUAUAAAUAGAUUAAUAAGAUUCCUACUAUCCCUAUCUACUAUCUAGCAAAACCAUAGCUAAGGGAAUAGGCUUAGUAGAAUUAGUAAGGAAAGAAAACCUUAUUAAGCUUAACUCUAGUUUAAUAUUAUAAAAAGAUAUAAGAGGUAUAGAAUAAGUAAGAGCUUUAGCGCUAGUAAAAUACUACUACUCCUAUUGUUUUUUUACUUAUUUAAUAAAGCGGGGCUAGAUUUUCGUCUAACUUCUAGUUUUAAGGUCCUUCGCAAGCUAACCCGGGUUAAAGACAUUAUUAGGUAGGGAGUUUAGCUAGGGCGGUAUAUCUAUUAAACUAUAACGCAAAUAUCUUAAGGGGGGCUUAUAGAGAAUAGAAAUCUUUAGUAAAAUAAAAAAGUAAAAGUCCCCUUGAUUUUAAUUUUUAAUAUAAAUAUAAACUAUAAAAGUAUAGCCUAUCGAUCCUUUAGUCCCUUAAAAUUUAAGGCUAGAGGUAUUAGAAAAGUUACUAUAGGGAUAACUAGCUUAUAGCAGCUAAGCGUUUAUAGCGACGUCGCUUUUUAAUCCUUCGAUAUCGGCUUUUCCUAUUAUACCGAAGCAGAAUUCGGUAAGCGUUAGAUUAUUUACCUACUAAUAAGGAACGUAAGCUAGGUUUAGACCGUCGUAAGAUAGGUUAGUUUUACCUUACUAAUAACCUCGUCGCAAUAGUAAUUAAGCUUAGUACGAGAGAAACCGCUUAUUUAGAUAAUUAGUUUUUAUAGCUAUCCAACUAGGUAGUACUACGACGCUACUAUCUACUAGAUAAUAGCUAAACGCCUCUAAGUUAGAAUCUAUACCAGAACGCGACGAUACCUCCCGUACGUAUAGAUAGAUACGAAUAGGCUUCGGCUUAGCGUCUUAGCAAGCGAUUCCUUUACUACUUUCGAAGCAAGUAGUAGUAUUUCGCAAAUUAUAAUU
rnacentral:rRNA from 1 species